AUCGCUUCUCGGCCUUUUGGCUAAGAUCAAGUGUAGUAUCUGUUCUUAUCAGUUUAAUAUCUGAUACGUCCCCUACCCGGGGACCAUGUAUUAAAUUGAUUUUUGGAGCAGGGAGACGGAACCCGGGGCUCGCUCCGUCCGCUCCACGCAUCCGCCCGGUAUUGCAGUACCUCCGGGACCGGUGCGCCUCUU